rnacentral:lncRNA from 1 species
UGUUUGUAUUUAUAAACAGAACUACUGGCCCCUUAAAACUCAAAAGAAUCUUCUCACAGAUAACAUCAGCAUCAGAAUGUAUGAUGAGUGGUUGAGGUUAUCUACAGGUUACAUAAUAACAGUUCAGUCAAUCAUUCUGUAGUAACCGCCUACUGUGCUCUUACCGAUGUUAUUAUCUAGGAAAUGGCAUAGGAUUCGCCAAGUAAAUGUCUAAAUCUAGUGCAUGUACAGUUUGCAAACUAUGUGACGGAAUUAACCAGUGAUUUAACUCAAUAAAUGAUGUUUCAUGUGAUAUUACGUUUUUGGAUUUACUGGGAGAAACCAAUAAAAAAGGUUGAUAUUAAACCUUCAUAUAUUGCUACCUGACAGGAUGGGAAAAGAUCUGGUAGACUGGCAAAAGAAGAAUGUGAAUAUCUAAUACACUGACAAUGUGGAAUCAUGAAAUAUUUUCUCUAAAAGAAAUAACGUUAUGCUUAAUUGUUUUACCAUUUGCCAAUUAAAGGACAGAAACAUGUAGAUACUUAAUAAUAAUAUUACAACUGUAUAUUGUUGAGUAAUAUCAAAGCUCAUAUGAAAUUAAUAUAUAUUAAAAUAUGUUUUGUUUCA